UUAUAUUUGAGCUAAUAAACGGCAAAUCUGAAAUCGUGAUAUUAUUGCAUAUUUUCUGUUCUAUAUCUAUCAAGGGCUCGUCUAAAGAAUUCUGCUUUAUCCAUUUAGUGAUAUAUUGUAGUCUAUUUGCCGUUGUGUUUUCAAGGUUUGAAAAGUGCUUAUAUUUUGGAUGAAAUGCUUGAAAAUGCUUGAAAUUGUAACUAUUUCUUUCGCAACAAAUACCUAUCUAACUGAAUCGUGUGUUUAUUAAAUGGAGAAAUAAAAUGUUGGAGAGCCUGAAAAUGAAACCUGCUCGCUUAUGUGUGACUGCGAUCUGCCAGUCUAUUUCCAUGUGUGACUCUGCCCCCAUGAAACCACCACUGCACCAUGCCGGGAGGUUGUCGUUUCAAUUAACGUUGGCUGGAAGAUGAUAAAUACAAAUUAUGGAUUAAACGGGGAAACCCCACGAGUUGCCUCUUGUAAAGUCUGCAAAAAAGACGUGCAGCUUUUCACAAUGGGCGAGUCUGCGCUCUCGAGUCACAUGAAGGGAAAAAAGCAUCAAGACCUGAUGUGAAGUCAUCUGAAUUCAGUUCCAGUAGUAGCAGAUUUUUUUGGGACAGAAAAGCACAGCUACAAUCAGUAGUGACGGUGCAGUGAAAGUAGCCGUGGAGUAGCGCCUCUACCAUCCACAUCCACUCCUCCAGUCCAGUCUUCUAAUCCACAUCAGGCAACCAGCAAGACCACAAACACCAUAACAUCAUUUGCCAGCUCUAAUCCAACACUUCAAGCAGAAAUAUGCUGGGCAACAAAAUUUGUAACCAGCCAUUAUUCCUACAAAUCAUGUGAGAAUGCAGCAGACAUUUUCAGAACCAUGUUUCCAGAUAGUGAAAUUGCAAAGAAGUUUACUUGUGGGGAGAGAAAAGCAGCAUACCUCACCACAUUUGGGAUUGCACUGCAUUUCUCUUCCCUAAUGAAGGCCAAAGCCAAAAAAGAGUCUGAAUAUGUACUUCUGUUUGAUGAAAGUUUAAAUAGGAAAAUUAAGAAAAGCCAGCUGGACAUGCACAUACGAUUUUGGAAAGAUAACCAAGUAAACUCAAGGUACCUAACAUCAUUUUUCAUGGGUCAUCACACUGCAGAACAAAUGCAUGAGAAGGUUGAAAAGGUGUGUUCAGAUAUAGGCUUCCAGAACCUGAUUCAGCUGUCGAUGGAUAGCCCAAAUGUUACAUUUACAACUCAAAUUGUUUGGAUUUGCACAAUAUUGUCAAAAAAGGUCAAUGAGCUGAAUCUGACUGACUGUCUACCUCAAAGACGACUGUUUGCAUUUUUAUAUUUUCAAUAAAUUGAAAGUGAAGUGAA